CCCGUCCGAGGAAGACCAUUAGCUUCCAUCUUUGGGCUGUAUUCUCCAGUUCACUUUCUACACUGCCCCUAGUUUGACAUUUCUAAAAUAUUGGUCUGAUUAUGUCUAAAGCCAUUCAGUAGCUACCAACGGUUCUUGCCAGCCUUUGGCCUUAUUUCUGGACACCUUUCUAUUCCAGAAAAUGACCAUUGUCCUUUUUGAAGAAAUGAACAUCAUACCUAUCUGCACGAUAGUCUGUCUCACCUAUAUUUCUAUGUACACUUUGGAUCUCAACAGUUAGGACAUUUCCUCCGGGAAAACUCUCACCUGCCCUCAGCCUCAGUUAAGGGUUCUUCUCGGAUGUUGUCACAAAGAUGCAUAUUUACCCUAUCUUACCGUUUUUCACUGCAUUGAAAAUGUCUUAAUUAUGUCUUCCACCAGUCUGAAAGUGCCAGAAAACCAAGGCAGUUUUUAUGUUGUUCAUUGUUGUAUGUGCACAGAGCCUCCACAUAAUAGAUGAUUAGUAAGUAUUUAUGAAAUGAAGAGAUAAAAAUUAAUCAGUAAACAGAGAUUACACUCUUUCUGAUGGACCUAUUAUUUUCACUUUUUGUUUGACUGUUUUACUAAUUAAUAUAAGCGAUUAUUCAAAUAUGCUUAAAAAUCCAAAAGUUACCUUAAGUGAACCUUUAUCCAAUUCCUCCUACAACUCUCAAGGAUAGUAUGAUGAUAGGGAAGGAAAGUUAAAUGGCACUGACUCCAAAUGCAUCAAAACGUUGACUCAUUAGGCCAUUUCUGUUACUUAAUAAUAGAGCAAAUAAAUAAGUGCCGUGACUCAUUGUUCUUCUCCAGUGUAAUGUGUUUUUCCCAGUGGUUUCUAAUUACCCAAGAGAAGUCAAGCCUUUUCCAAAGUUCAUGUAUAGAAGGUGAAGGAUACUUUAAAUUUCUCGAAAAAAGGAAUGGAUAGAGAUUUUAAAAUGACUUGAUUAUAAAGGUAUAUACACACCUCUUGUUUUUCUGUCUGGAGCAGUGGGGAUUACUCCGAAGGAGUAAGAAGUUACAAUCUGAGAGAAAGAUCAAGUUGGAGGCAAGAAUCCCUUUAUCCUUUAUUGUGUUGACAUUUAUAUGUUGGUCCAGUAUUCUAAGACAGGCCUUGUGUCUUGCACAGCUGUGUCCAGUGCAGGGAAACUUGCCAGCAUUAAUGACAAUUACCAGCACAAGGCUCUCUUCUGCUGACCACACCUAAUUCUUUUACCCUGAUUAAAUAUUUAAGAACAGAAAGGUUCUGCGUUUAAAAACACAGUAAACUAUGCCAGUCUAAAUCAAAGUUUUAAACCGUCGGACAACUCCAAGACUUGAGGCUAAUCAUUCACCAGUAGAAAGAUAAAAUUUUCCUAAACUGAAACUGAGUUUGUAGAUGCUGCGUUAACAACAUCUGAAGUGGAAAGAACUUCAGGGCAACAUUUUCUUCUUUCAGGAUUUAUUCCCAAAGGACACAGUGACUAUUAUGUUGGGCCUCAAAAACUGAAAGCACUAAAAAUUACUCUUUGGAGUUUACUACCAGAAUCCAGCGUCUUGACAGACCAAAUCGGACUGGAAUGGGAUCCUUCAAGAGCAUGGACUUUGUACCAGAUGGCCUCUAAGUGUCCUGCUGACCCUGGAAAUCACCAUUUAUGACUGAUGAGGAGGUGAUGACGUGUGUUUCUGCUCAGAGUUUCAGGUGGUGAAAAAAUAGGCUAUUUCAUAAGGACCUCUGUGACUUCCUGAACAUUCUCUUUUCAUUGAGGAAGUGACCCUAACUGGAGGACAGCAUCUCCCAUGGCAGCAGGAGGAGAGAAGACAGGUGAGUAAUGAAGUGACCCCUUAUUCUACAGAGUGCACAAGGGUUCUGUCUCCAUGAAUCACAAUAGAUUUCCUAACGCAGACUUGGAUAUCAUCUUAAUCGAUCUAAGACAGUGGUGAAAUUAAAUGGUGUCCAAAAUCUUGGCAGCAGUAUUUUUGUCCUAGGGUCUGUGAAAUUCCAUGAGAAAAGUGUUCAGAAAGAGCUGCAUUGAGUGAAGUAUUUGGGGAGUUGAGGAAUUAUUCAAACAAAACCAGUUUAAUUUAUAUGAACCCCCCAGUGAGGAAAGCAUUGAGAAUGGGAAUUUUGAAAUAAAAAUUUUCCACAUUACUUCACAGGUUCUGCUUCCUUACUGAAUGUUGCUUGUUUGCUUUUAUAAAUAAUAUUUCCUCCAGCUGGCACCCUUAGACAGGAUCCAUUCAGAUGAAUGUCAUGGGGCAUUGAGCAAUUCCAGUACCUUUCUCAAUGAAAACUUAAAGGUUAUGUUAUUCUCCCUAUCCUUUCCUUUUGAGUGGCUAUGAAGGAAGUUGUUGAUAUUAUUGUUAAUGUUUCAAAGAAAACUAUAGCUGCUAGUUAUUUUCUUAAGUGAAGCAGAGCUUCUGGCCUUGGAAAUGCCCUUGAAGAUAGGCUUUUUUAGGUGUUACUACUACUUCUCAAAGAGUAAAGGAUGGGAAUAGAAGUCUUUAGUCUUCCAUUAGUUUGCUCUCAUUUCUUUCCGGAGUGUGAUUAUGGUUAGGUAUCUUGCUCUUGGGUGGAGGUAUACACAGCUAGCGUGACAACCUGGUUGGCCUGAGGUGCUGAGGGGCACAAGGAGUCAGAAUUUUGGAAAUGCCCAUGAUUUCCAUCAGCAAAGAAAAUAUUGGCUAGUUGGCAGGUGAGGGUCAGAUCAAUAAUGAUUCUUUUGUGUGGGCACAGUUGGAAAGGAAUGCCUUUCACCAAUUUUAAUAAAACCUCUGAAACAUAAUUGUAAAGGGGCAUUGGGGAAAAUCCUGUGACCUAUUUGAAAUGUAUAAGAAGGACUCUCAGGGUGACCCUGGUGGUCAGAGAGAGAAUGGAGCUCUGGGGAUAGAUCUAAUGAGAGCAAUCCUACAAGCUCAUUGACUGAGAAAUAAAGCAGAGACUUAAAGAAUUAAAAGAAUUUAUUGGCUAGCAUGGGGCAAAGUUAGACAAAUAUAGGCUUGUAGCCUUUAAUCCAUGUAGUGGAAAGAGGCUGGUUCAUUAGGAAAAUCAUAUUUCGUAUGGGAUUGGGAAAAUAAGUAGAGAGAAGAAGAAUAUGUUAAGGACACAGUAGAAUGUGAAUUUCAAUACUAAGGUGGCCUAAUGGAGACUUCUCGACUGUCCCAAGGGCAUAUGGAUCAACCAACCUGGCACUCAGUAAUAAAAAACAAAGGGACUCUUUCUGACCAAAGACCUUGGCAGAUGGUAGGGGGAAAGAGGUGUGGUUGCAAACAGCCCAAGGCUUUUUCAACAUCAACUGUAUCCACAGACUUGAAAAGACUGACUUUGCCCAAACAAAAUGUGAGAGAGACAUCUGUAUGAUCAGAUUACCAUCUACUAUUGCUGUCAGGAACUACCCAGAGGACGAGUAUAAACCAACCAAACACCAUAAUAGACACCUUUUGGGGAGGGCGGGUGUGGGGGUUUUUCUAUGGCCAUGCAGAGCCGAUAGGCAAGGGGUUUUGCUGGAUUCGGGAACUUAUUGAGGAAUAUUGACGGACACUGGUUCCCCCUCUCCUUGGAAAUUUUACCUUCCAGCCCAGCACCAAGGAAAGCAUCCAGCAUGCACCACAGACAUAGUCUAAACCUGAAACUGUCAUUCACUGUGCUUGGAGACCUAAGGGAGUUUGAACAUUCUCUGACUCUGCAGGAGCACUUCGCACUUGAGGGCCAUUUUAUCUGUCACGCUUCAGAACUUUUCAUCUGUAGAGGUCUGUGCUCUGAAACCAGACAUGUGGCCUUGUCACUUCCUGGAGCCUCUAGUAGAGUGUCCUUUCCCAGACAGUCCCAGAGCUCAUCACCUGCUGUCUCUGCCCUGAUGACAUCUUACCAAGUAAGGCCUUCUCCUGUCACUCUGUAUAAAAUAAAACCUCUCUCCUAGGAUCCCUAUCGCCUUUUCAUAUUCUGUUUGACUCUUUAGCCUUUUCACCCUCUGUUACUUUAUAUACUGGCUAGUUUAUCUGCUUGGCGUUUUUCCUGCCCCACUAGAAUAUAAGUUCCACGAGGGCAGGAUGUUGUCUGUUUUACUGCUUCGUCCCACCACAGGUAUCCUGUAAAUAUUUUGGAAAUAAAUGAAUGAGGCCUUAAGCAGAGGUUUUAAGUUUAUCUGGUCUCUUUCAAUGUCUUCAGCCCUGUGGGCUGUUUGGGCCCCAUGGGGGAGUAACAGAUGGAAAGGGCUUUUUGCAAAGGGUGUAACCGAAACUAAUUAAUGUACCCAAGCACAAAAUGAAAGUUCUUCACCCUGAGAAGGACAAACAGUUGUCAGUCAUUGUUUCUUGAUUAUCUUUCCAAGACAGGGUCCUACCAAGUCCAGAAUGUUGUCUUUGCAGUGGCCAUGACAAGUUUCUGGUCUUUAAGGAAAAAGUAACAAGACAAUUGUUUCACAGGUGCCUCUGGCACAUGCCAGCAUCUAGUAAUGAUUGACUUGUCUCUGGAUUUUAAUGCCUUUAAAUCAUCCUGUUACUGUCCUUUGAAACCAAGGCAGCCAAGAGAGCUUAGGAAAUACUUAUUAUCUUAAAAUUAAGUUAACAGAAAGAUUCAUAAUUGACUGUUAGCCCUUCGGUUCCAUGGUUUCUGAGUAUCAUCUUGUAUCUGAAGGCUUUUCUGGCAGUUGCAUUCUGCCAUGGAGAAAACUUGUCACCCAUUAGAAAAGCUUCUUCAGACAUCAGUGGGCUUGAGGACCACCUGAGUAGGUAUUUGAUCUCUCGCGUUCUUUCUUCUCGGUAACUCCAAAUUCCAGAUGUCAGGGACAAUCAAUUUGAGCUGGGUUUUAUGACCCACUGUGGGAUUCUUGGACAAAGUUAGAUUCAACACUAAUAAAAUGGAGAUAAACACAUCAAGUCUGUGAAAACCUGUUUGCCAACUCCACAUGAAUUGCAGAAUUUAGAAGAGAUUCAUGGGAUCAUUAGAAAAAUGAGUUCUCCAAUCUUUUGUCAACUGUGGAUCAAGAAAAGGAGUUAAGAUAACUUUUUGGAUUUCUUAAAAAAGAGGCUGGUCUUUAAAUGAAUCUCUCUAACAGCCCCAGGAUGCCCUAUACAAGCCACAGCCCUUUCUCCUCUCAGUACCAUAGCCUCCGUCUGUGACAUUGUGGAGGCAGCUCAUACAGGCAUGUGAGAGCAAGUUGUCAGAAUUUCAGGAAAGUUGGGAGCUGGUUGAUCUAACAGCAGUAGCUUAAAAAGGGCCAUGGCGGGAGGAAGUAAACCACUGAAAUAGGCCAACACUGGGAAUCAGGGUUCCUCCAGAACUCCAGGGAGCUUGUUGUUAAACAUUCACUAGCACACCACUAGCCCUCAGUAUCCUUCAACACUGCAAGAAGUCCUUUGCCUGCCUGACGUGUGUGUGUGUGUGUGUGUGUGUGUGUGUGUGUACAUAUACACAUGAAAUAAAAAAUAUUUAAAAUAUUUUGUAAAAACAAAAAAGGAUAAAAGUUUCCCAGAAAAUGGAGAUGAAAAUUGCCCGACUGAGUACAAACACCUCAUAGACAAUGGACUAUUCAUCUGUGCUGAGGAACUGGAGCCUAACCAUCGUUCCGCAUACUCCAGGUGUGACACCAGUGACUUUUCAAUCUUAGACCAGCUGUUGAAUCUCCCUAUAAGUUCUGGGGAUCCAAGCAGAGAGUAAACGUCUUUGUAAAAAGGUAUCAGCGGGCAUGAGGCCGUAUACAAUAUACACAUACUAUGAAUAGAUCUAAAAAGAAACAAGCAUCAGAAGGCCUGGAUCCUUUGCUAACUUUCACUCUAGAGUUAAAUAUUUGCCAAGAAGUAAGCUUCUUCCACUUCAGAUCUUUAAAGUUACGUUAUAGAAGUGACCACCCAGCCUCAAUAAAAGAGAAUAUGGAUUAUCAUACCAAUGACUACACCACGUGAGAUAAAGGCAAUCUCCGUGCAACUUCAGAUAUUCCUCUGGAAAUAACCCGCGCAUUGUUUACCCUACCUGAGAACCACCUGUAUUUGUAUAGCAAUCACACUUGAAAGAUACUAAGAGUACAGGGCCGAGCCCCAAAGGCAGGGUCUGUUGACAUAAUUAGGUGGUAACUCUCCAACUCCCAAAGUUCUUUUGACGAUAAGAAAGAAAGAGACACCUCUUGCUCUGUAGGAAACUCCUUUUCAGUUUGUUUUCUAGUAAUUGCCUAGUUUAUUCCCUUCCUGCUCUUCAGUGGUUACUUUAUUUAGGGACAGUAGAGGAUUUUCACCUGGUGCCAUAGGCUUAAACACUUCUGGAAAAGUGGCUGUGCACCUGCACCUGAGACGAGUAGAUGCGUAUUAACUAUUUUACAAAACAAACAACUCCAGGAUGCCUUGCAACUGCUAAUAACCUCUCUGGAACAGCCCAGCACUGCUAGAUUGUCCCUUUCCACUGUUAGUUCAUACGCAAAGUGGUAGGAUAUUGUCACCUUUGCUCAAAUGCAAGAAAAUCAGAAGAUGCUGUGACCUGAAAGUGCUGGUACUUCCAGCUCCAGUUGGUUUCAGAGGAAACUUCCGGUGGCUGUCACCGGCUACAAAAUAGAUGACAUGUGUCUUGUACUCUUUGACUUAUUCCUUUCCUCAAGAUAACACUCAGGAUCUUUCACCUCUCCUUGCCUCUGAAUAGGCUGCUCCCUCUGCUUAGAUCUCUCUCGUGCUCACCUCCAUUUUCACUUGGCCAUAUUGGAAUCGUCAUUCACUUCCCCAUAUUGUAAUCCUCAACUCAGCUAUCAUGCCAUGCCUGAAGGCUUCCCUGAGGAAUCCUCAUCUCCAGCCUGGGUAAGGGAUGGUUCCUCUGAGUUCUUACAGUAAUUUUUGAUGAUUGCCAUCAUCCCAUAUGGCAUAAUGUGCAAUAUAUCCUAGGUAUGGUUAGCCUCUUUCUUAAAGCAGUGGUUCUGAAUUUGGGUUAUAUGUUAGGAUGAUGUCAGUACAUAGCCCUUUACAUUAUGUUGGGCUCACCACAAGUGUAACUACCAUCUGCCCCACCCAAGACUAUGACAAUGUCAUUGAGUACAUUCUUUAUGCUGUGCCUUUUAUUCCUGUGACUUACCCAUUCCAGAGUGGGAAGUCAGUAUCUCCAACUCUCCUGCAGCUAUUUUGCCCAUCACCCUGCUUCCCUUCCCUCUGGACACUUAUCAGUUUGUUCUCUGUGUUUAUAGGUCUGAUUCUGCUUUUUCUUUGUUUACUCAUUUGUUUUGCUUUUUAGAUUACACAUGUAAGUAAAAUCACAUGGUAGUUGUCUCGGUCUGACUUAUUUCACUUAGCACAACACCUGUCCAUCCAUCAUCCUUUCUUAUGGCUGUGUAAUAUUCCAUUGUGUGUGUGUGCAUGUGUGUGUGUGAGAGAGAGACAGAGACAGACAGAGAGAGGGAGGGAGAGAGAGAGAGAGAGAAAGACAUAUAUCAGUGGACACUUAGGUUGCCUCUAUAUCUUAGCUAUCAUGAACAAUGCUGUAAUGAACAUUGGCAUGCAUAAAUCUUUUUGAAUUACUGUUUUUGUUUUCUUUGAGUAAAUACCCAUUAGUAGAAUUAUUGGAUUAUAUGGUAUUUCUAUUUUUAGUUUUUCAAGGAAUCUCCAUAUUGUUUUCCACAGUGGCUAUGCUAAUUUAUAUUACCACCAACCAACAGUGUAUGAGCGUUCGUUUUCCUCCACAUCCUCACCAACACUUGUUAUUUCUUGUCUUUUUGAUUUUAGCCAGUCUGACAAGUAUAAGGUGAUAACUCAUGGUUUUUAUUUGGAUUUCCCUCAUGAUUGGUGAUGUUGUGCAUCUUUUCAUGUGUCUCUUGGCCAUCUCUAUGUGUUCUCUGGAAAAAUGUGUGUUUAGGGCCUCUGCCCAGGUUUUUUUUGCUUGUUUGUUUGUUUUUUGGUUGUCUGUUUUUGAGAAAAGCAGAAUAAAGCACUUUUAUAGUGGUAAUUAAAACUUGAAACUCUGGUGUAGUUCAGGGAGGUGGGUGUGGGAGGUAGGCAGCAAAAAUUUUCCUCACCAAAUCAUUACAAGGGAGAGCAAAGUGUUGAGAGGGGGAGGAAAAGCCAAGAAACACUGAAAUCAGCAGGGGGAGCUGAAUAUCAAAAACCAGGAGAUACUGAAGCUGUGAUGACCAGCAUCAUUUCCUCAAGACAACACUCAAGGGUGUGUCAGGAUGGCUGUGCUUUCAUCGGGUGUUAAGUGUCUACAAACAGCACCUUCAAUUUAAACUUUCGAUUAAAGUUCUUAAAAUUUAGGAAGCAGAGCUUGGAUAGCUACGAGAUUACAAUAGUCCUGAAUAUCCAUUAGAAAAACCACAAGGUGGGAGAGAAAACAAAAAGUGAGGCCACAAAGGCGGCCUCAGAGGUCCCUGCAGGCCAGGGUGCAGAUCCGUGUAGUUUCCAACACUGCAGUGAGAACUGUCUGUCUUCAAAAGGCAGAGGGUUUGGGGCACUUAGGUGGCUCAGUCAGUUAAGCGUCUGACUCUUGAUUUAGGCUCAGGUCAUGAUCUCAUGGUCCGGGAGAUUGAGCCCCAUGACCGGCUCCAAGCUGAGAAUACAGAGCUUGCUUGGAAUUCUCUCAUUCCUUCUUUUUGCCCCUCCCUGCCUCCAUCUCUCGCUCUCUCUUUCUAUCAAAAUAAAUAAAUAAACUUUAAAGAAAAAAAGGCAGAGUGUUUAAGGGGAGGCUCGGGUGGGGCAAUGGAGGCAAAGGCUUUCCCCCUCUCUGCUUCAGUUUUGGGUAGGGCUUUUAAUUCAACCUAUGUACAUCUGUCAACUUAAAGAGGAAUUUGUCCCUCAACAGCAUCUCAAAAUCUACUACAGCUUUGUAUGGCAGCAGCAAGAAUGUUUAAUGAAUAAUAGAUAAAAAUUUCACCCAGAAAAACAAAAUAAAAUAAAGAUUCUUGCAUCCUCCUUCCCCCACCAAUUCCUAUUCUGAAGUUAACCCGUUACUUGUGCUGUUAAUACUUGACUAAUACUUAAAUGGAAACCUGGAUCUAAAAGAUUGAAACUGAAACUUCACCCCAACAAGAAAAUGAAAUAAAAUGAAUAACUUGAGGUUCAUGGCAUAGAGUUUAGGUCAACACACAUAUGAGGAGAAAGAGAAAGAGCAAAGCCAUGGGGACAGAACACUUUCAUUCGGUAUCAAUGCUUAUCUAAAGAAUGUAGUGGAUGGGACGCCUGAGUGGCUCAGUCGGUUAAGCGUCUGACUUUGGCUCAGGUCAUGAUCUCACAGUUCGUGAGUUCGAGCCCC